ensembl:snoRNA Gm24616 small nucleolar RNA SNORA4
GUACCAAAAGCUAGAUUUGUGGGGAAGGUUUAUUAAAUAACCUUAACCAAUUCAGGCUAUUUGGUAGAAUAAGUAAGACCACACUCCACAGUGGGCUAUACCACUUAGUAUGGUUCAUUACUAUAUUGUGGCCUACAUU